rnacentral:rRNA from 1 species
GAGUUUGAUCUUGGCUCAGAACGAACGCUGGCGGCAUGCCUAACACAUGCAAGUCGAACGAAGGCUUCGGCCUUAGUGGCGCACGGGUGCGUAACGCGUGGGAACCUGCCCCUCGGUUCGGAAUAACAGUUAGAAAUGACUGCUAAUACCGGAUGAUGACUUCGGUCCAAAGAUUUAUCGCCGAGGGAUGGGCCCGCGUAGGAUUAGCUUGUUGGUGGGGUAAUGGCCUACCAAGGCGACGAUCCUUAGCUGGUCUGAGAGGAUGAUCAGCCACACUGGGACUGAGACACGGCCCAGACUCCUACGGGAGGCAGCAGUGGGGAAUAUUGGACAAUGGGCGAAAGCCUGAUCCAGCAAUGCCGCGUGAGUGGUGAAGGCCUUAGGGUUGUAAAGCUCUUUUACCAGGGAUGAUAAUGACAGUACCUGGAGAAUAAGCUCCGGCUAACUCCGUGCCAGCAGCCGCAGU